UACGAAGGGGGCUAGCGUUGCUCGGAAUCACUGGGCGUAAAGCGCACGUAGGCGGAUUUUUAAGUCAGGGGUGAAAUCCUGGAGCUCAACUCCAGAACUGCCUUUGAUACUGGGAAUCUCGAGUCCGAUAGAGGUGGGUGGAAUUCCUAGUGUAGAGGUGAAAAUUCGUAGAUAUUAGGAAGAACACCGGUGGCGAAGGCGGCCCACUGGGCAGAGACUGACGCUGAGGCGCGACAGCGUGGGGGAGCAAACAGG
rnacentral:rRNA from 1 species